AGAGUCGGCUUUCCCUUUGAAAGGUCUAUGUCAUUUUUUUCACAAGCAAUAUGUUUAGAAUGUUGAAAUACAUAAAAAGUUAUAAAAAACAACUUUCAGCAACGGAUCUCUUGGCUCUCGCAUCGAUGAAGAACGCAGCGAAAUGCGAUAAGUAAUGUGAAUUGCAGAAUUCAGUGAAUCAUCGAAUCUUUGAACGCAUCUUGCGCUCCUUGGUAUUCCGAGGAGCAUGCCUGUUUGAGUGUCAUUUUGAACUCUCAAAGCCCACAUCUUGAUGUGGCUUUGGACUUGGGGGCUUUUGCAGGCUUUUAAAUAAAAGGCCUGCUCCCCUGAAAUUCAUUAUUGGUACGUGGAGUGGAAACCGCGAGGUGUUGAUAACAUUCAUCUAUGCGUUUGGUAUGCCGCGCAAAUGGGCUGCUUUGAAAACGCACAUGCUCUUGACAAACUUGACCUCAAAUCACGUAUGACUACCCGCUGAAGGUAAGCAUAUC
rnacentral:rRNA from 1 species